rnacentral:rRNA from 1 species
GUGAGGAAUAUUGCGCAAUGGAGGCAACUCUGACGCAGCCAUGCCGCGUGCAGGAAGAAGGCGCUACGCGUUGUAAACUGCUUUUAACCGGGAAGAAACCCCAGGACGUGUCCUGGGUUGACGGUACCGGAGGAAUAAGCACCGGCUAACUUCGUGCCAGCAGCCGCGGUAAUACGAAGGGUGCAAGCGUUAUCCGGAUUCAUUGGGUUUAAAGGGUGCGUAGGCGGAGCGUUAAGUUAGUGGUGAAAUCCUGCAGCUUAACUGUAGACUUGCCAUUGAUACUGGCGCUCUUGAGUGCGCUUGAAGUGGGCGGAAUGUGCCGUGUAGCGGUGAAAUGCUUAGAUAUGGCACAGAACACCAAUUGCGAAGGCAGCUCACUAAGGCGAUACUGACGCUGAGGCACGAAAGCGUGGGGAUCGAACAGGAUUAGAAACCCUGGUAGUCC